AUUGAACGCUGGCGGAAUGCUUUACACAUGCAAGUCGAGCGGCAGCGCGGGGCAACCUGGCGGCGAGCGGCGAACGGGUGAGUAAUGCAGCGGAACAUGUCCAGUCGUGGGGGAUAGCCCGCCGAAAGGCGGAUUAAUACCGCAUACGCCCGGAAGGGGAAAGCGGGGGACCUGAGAGGGCCUCGCGCGAGUGGGUUGGCCGAUGUCCGAUUAGCUAGUUGGGGGGGUAAAGGCCCACCAAGGCGAUGAUCGGUAGCUGGUCUGAGAGGAUGAUCAGCCACACUGGGACUGAGACACGGCCCAGACUCCUACGGGAGGCAGCAGUGGGGAAUUUUGGACAAUGGGGGCAACCCUGAUCCAGCCAUUCCGCGUGAGUGAAGAAGGCCUUCGGGUUGUAAAGCUCUUUUGUCCGGAGCGAAACGGUUGUGGUGAAUAUCCACGGCUACUGACGGUACCGGAAGAAUAAGCACCGGCUAACUACGUGCCAGCCGCCGCCGUAAUAC
rnacentral:rRNA from 1 species